CUGCGCCACAAGUGGUGGUCGCGUUUAUUGGGCCUAAAGCGUCCGUAGCUGGUUUGGCAAAUCCUUUGUGAAAUCAUUGAGCUUAACUCAAUGAAUGGCAGGGGACACUACCAAACUCGAGACCGGGAGGAGCCAGGGGUAUUCUGAGGGAAGCGGUAAAAUGCUAUAAUCCUCAGCAGACCACCUGUGGCGAAGGCGCCUGGCUAGAACGGUUCUGACAGUGAGGGACGAAAGCUAGGGGAGCGAUCCGGAUUAGAUACCCGAGUAGUCC
rnacentral:rRNA from 1 species